rnacentral:rRNA from 1 species
AACGAACGCUGGCGGCAUGCUUAACACAUGCAAGUCGAACGAGACCUCCCUGUUUUUUGGCGCACGGGUGCGUAACGCGUGGGAACCUACCCUUAGGUUCGGAAUACCUCCCCUUAAGGGGACCUAAUACCGGUGAAUGUCAUCGCGGCAACGAUUUAUUGCUUUUGGAUGGGCGCGCGUUGGAUUAGCUAGUUGGUAGGGUAAUAGCCUGCCAAGGCGUCGAUGCAUAGCUGGUCGGGGAGGAUGAUCAGCCACACUGGGACUGAGACACGGCCCAGCCUGGUACGGAAGACUGCAGUGGAGAAUAUUGGAGGCUGGGCGCAAGCGUGAUCCAGCAAUGCGGCGUGAGAGAUGCAGGCGUUAGUGUUGUACAGCCCUCUUUCCCGGGAUGAGAAUGACGGUACCGGGUGAAUAAGCUCCGGCUAACUACGUG